rnacentral:rRNA from 1 species
GAUGAACGCUGGCGGCGUGCUUAACACAUGCAAGUCGAACGAGAAGUGGAGACGGAAACCUUCGGGCGGAAGACUUUACUUCGAGUGGCGGACGGGUGAGUAACGCGUGGGUAACCUGCCUCCUACAGGGGGAUAACAGUUGGAAACGACUGUUAAUACCGCAUCAGACCACAGCACCGCAUGGUGCGGGGGUAAAAACUCCGGUGGUAUGAGAUGGACCCGCGUUCGAUUAGCCAGUUGGCGGGGUAACGGCCCACCAAAGCGGCGAUCGAUAGCCGAUAUGAGAGGAUGACCGGCUACAAUGGGGCUGAGACACGGCCGCAAAUCGUACGGGAGGGAGGAGUGGGGAAUAUUGCACGAUGGGGGAAGCCCUGAUGCAGCGACGCCGCGUGAGUGAAGAAGUAUGUCGGUAUGUAAAGCUCUAUCAGAAGGGAAGAAAAUGACGGUACCUGAGGAAGAAGCCCCGGCUAACUACGUG